rnacentral:rRNA from 1 species
GACGAACGCUGGCGGCGUGCUUAACACAUGCAAGUCGAACGGAAAGGCCCCUUUGGGGGUACUCGAGUGGCGAACGGGUGAGUAACACGUGAGUAACCUGCCCUUGACUCCGGGAUAACUUCAGGAAACUGGGGCUAAUACCGGAUAGGAAUCCUUGCUGCAUGGUGGGGGUUGGAAAGCUUCGGCGGUUUUGGAUGGACUCGCAGCUUAUCAGCUUGUUGGUGGGGUAGUGGCUUACCAAGGCUUUGACGGGUAGCCGGCCUGAGAGGGCGACCGGCCACAUUGGGACUGAGAUACGGCCCAGACUCCUACGGGAGGCAGCAGUGGGGAAUAUUGCACAAUGGGCGGAAGCCUGAUGCAGCAACGCCGCGUGCGGGAUGACGGCCUUCGGGUUGUAAACCGCUUUCAGCAGGGGCGAAGCUUUUGUGACGGUACCUGCAGAAGAAGCACCGGCUAACUACGUG